rnacentral:rRNA from 1 species
GCCGAACGCUGGCGGCGUUCUUAACACAUGCAAGUCGAACGCACCUUCGGGUUAUAGGCGAACGGGUGAGUAACACGCGGGUGAUCUGCCUUGCACUUUGGGUUAAGCCUGGGAAACUGGGUAGAAUACCGAAUAGGACCCCGCGCGUCCUGGUGCGUGGUGUAACGCUUUUGCGGUGUGGGUUGGGCCCGCGGCCUAUCAGCUUGUUGCGGGGGUAAUGGCCAACCAGGGCGACGACGGGUAGCCGGCCUGAGAGGGUGAGCGGCCCCACCGGGACUGUGAUACGUCCCAGACUCCUACGGGAGGCAGCAGUGGGGAAUAUUGCACAAUGGGCGCAAGCCUGAUGCAGCGACGCCGCGUGAGGGAUGACGGCCUUCGGGUUGUAAACCUCUUUCGCCAGGGACGAAGCGCAAGUGACGGUACCUGGAGAAGAAGGACCGGCCAACUACGUGCCAGCAGCCGCAGUAAUAC